GCUUAAGAGUAGGCGGUGAUUAGCAUGCAAUUAUAAGAGAAUGUUUACUUCCGUCAAUAAUUCUGGGAGAAGGACUCUUUUUUAGAAAUAUUGUAUACGUACAGGCACACGAUGCCCUUCUUGGGUCAGGACUGGCGGUCACCUGGAUGGAGCUGGAUAAAAACCGAAGAUGGCUGGAAGCGCUUCGAGUUCUUCAGUCACGAUAUACAAGACAAUAGUGACAUAGACCUGGAAGAGCUGCAAGUUGAAAAUAAGGAAAAUUUGUUUUCUGCUGAAGAUUGCAAAAUUGAAGCCAAAAAACGAAAAAAGGACCACUUCAACAAUAAUACAAAAUCACAGUUUUUCUUUCAAGAAAAAUGGAUUUACGUUCAGAAGGAAAGUACCAGAGAAAGACAUGGUUAUUGCACAUUAGGGGAAGCAUUCAAUCGUUUGGAUUUCUCCAGCGCCAUACAAGAUGUGCGAAGGUUCAACUAUGUUGUUAAACUUUUACAGCUCAUAGCAAAAUCCCAGUUGACAUCCCUGAGUGGAGCUGCCCAAAAAAACUAUUUUAAUAUUUUGGAAAAAAUAGUUCGGAAAGUUCUAGAUGAUCAGCAAAACCCAAGACUAAUUAAAGACCUCUUACAAGACCUGGGUUCUACUCUGUGUAUUCUCAUCAGAGAAGUGGGCAAAUCUGUGUUAGUGGGCAACAUCAAUAUUUGGAUUUGUCGUUUGGAAACAAUACUGAAUUGGCAACAACAGCUAAACAACCUACAGAUACCCAAGCAGGUGAAUAAUGGAGUAACACUCAGUGAUCUUCCACUCCAUAUGCAAAACAAUAUUUUGUACAAAUUUUCUGACGGUUGGGAUAUUGUUAACCUGGGUCAAGUGACAUCAACUUUGCACAUGCUCAGUGAAGACAGACAACUAUGGAAAAAGCUUUGCCAUUAUCAUUUUGCUGAAAAGCAGCUCUGUAGGCAUCUGGUUUUAUCAGAAAAGGGCCAUGUGGACUGGAAAUUAAUGUACUUCACACUUCAGAAAUACUUUCCAAAGAAGGAGCAGUAUGGUGAUACAUUGCAGUUCUGCAGACAUUGUAGCAUUCUGUUUUGGAAGGGAGCUUGGUCAGAAGGCAAGAACCAGACCUGAACAGGGCCCAGUCCAUUGCAGGGCACUCGGACUCACUCAUUUGUGGCAAGUGUAUAGUUCUCGGUUCACCUAACCUGGACGUCUUUUGGUUUCUGGCUGGAAACCCCACAUAGACGCAACACGAACAUGCAAACUCCACAUGGACCAUUCCCUGGGCUGUGGUUUAAGCCCAGGACUCUGAUGCUAUGAGCCAGCACUGCUAACCAUUGCAUCAUCUGUGGUGCAGAGAUUAUGAAAUUGCUGUAAAAUAAUAAGGUGAAAAUUUACUUUUUGUAAGGCGAUAAUGGAAAUAAAAAUUCUGGUAAAUGGGAGCAUAGCAAGAGGAGUAAAGAGUGCAUCAAGUAAGCCAAUUCGUGGUUUCUGUUUAGUAAAAGGAAGUUAUUUAUUUGAACAUUUUAUUUCAUGUUUAAUGUGAUGCCAGAGAUUGAAAACGUACUGCAUGUUGAUUGAGCAUGCAAGUAAGAAUUAUACUGUACUCUGCACACGGGACAAUACUACUAACUAUUUACUACUUAGGUUCAGUUUAAUCAGUGAUGAAUGACCACAUGUACAUGAAAAUCAAAUUAGCUGUGCCACUGAUGGCUACCUUGCCUGUUACACAUUACUUUUUAGUCAAAUAAGCCAAAAAAAAAGAAGUAAAGCUUGAUUUAAGUUUUGUUUACAAACUAUGACUGCAGCAAGCAGCUUUGCAAAGUCUUAACAUGUGCUCAUAGGGCGGUGGGUCUUGCCAUUCUCAGACUACAGACAGAGCUGAUGUAGGUGUCAGACUGAAUGUCGUAUUUCAUUUCCUGUUUGAGUGAUAUUUGUUUCAAAACAAAGGACGACUUUGUAGGGCAGUGGUAAUUGCUUCUGCCUCUCGGCUCCAGAAGACGCUCCACGCUGUCUGCGUAGAGGUUGCACAUGUUCACCCUGUCUCUGUGUGGGGCUUUUCUAACAUUCCUGCCACAUUCCAAGGACACCCAAGGUGGAUUAAUUGGGCUCUCAGUACUGGUCCAGUGUCUAUGCAUGAUUGUAGUCUGUGCUGAGCACUCCUGCCAUGAUAGGCUGUAGCCUACAUCCCUAAAAUUGGAUUAAGUGGGCCUGGCAAUGUAUAGCUGGUUAGAAAGACAACUCCAGUACUUGGAUUAAGGGCCGAGCUAGAGGGAUAUAUUUCUCUGUUGACUGGGCAAUGCCACAGAAGGUAGAGCAGGUCUACCCUGCUACAUGUGCUUACACCGAGAUUAUCAAAUGGCGCAGUUACAGAUAAUCUGAUCCAUGUGUACUUCAUUGUCUAAAAGAGAAGUGUCACCCUGCAUUGGGGCCGUGUGUGAUGUUAGAAGAAAGUCAGUGAGUUCUCUUUUGUUGGCCAGCCUCGGCUGCUCACGUCAUGUAGUCACACUGGCACCUCCUUUUGCAUGUUCUGCUUAUCUGCAGUAGUAACCGAAUCUUCCCUCCCCUGCUAAUCUUAACCUCUCAUGUUUUCCCUCCAUGCUUCCCCUUUCUUCUGAUCCUUCUUUCCUGACACCUCAAAAGGACCACCAGCUUGCUUUAUUAUUCAAGGAUUCAGGACAUCCUUGCACUGCAAAUGAUCCAGGCAACUGUUUUAUGUCCGUUUCUCCUCAGCAGUUCAUU